rnacentral:rRNA from 1 species
GAUGAACGCUGGCGGCGUGCCUAAUACAUGCAAGUCGAGCGAACAGACGAGGAGCUUGCUCCUCUGACGUUAGCGGCGGACGGGUGAGUAACACGUGGAUAACCUACCUAUAAGACUGGGAUAACUUCGGGAAACCGGAGCUAAUACCGGAUAAUAUAUUGAACCGCAUGGUUCAUUAGUGAAAGACGGUUUUGCUGUCACUUAUAGAUGGAUCCGCGCCGCAUUAGCUAGUUGGUAAGGUAACGGCUUACCAAGGCAACGAUGCGUAGCCGACCUGAGAGGGUGAUCGGCCACACUGGAACUGAGACACGGUCAAGACUCCUACGGGAGGCAGCAGUAGGGAAUCUUCCGCAAUGGGCGAAAGCAUGACGGAGCAACGCCGCGUGAGUGAUGAAGGUCUUCGGAUCGUAAAACUCUGUUAUUAGGGAAGAACAAAUGUGUAAGUAACUAUGCACGUAUUGACGGUACCUAAUCAGAAAGCAACGGCUAACUACGUG